ensembl:lncRNA
GGAAAAUCAAAGCAGAGCACAGGCUGCGAGGAGGGAUGUGAGCACACGGCAGUCCCUGUGUGCAGGGCAGCAGGGAUGGGGCUGUGCAAUGUGUUGGGAGUGGGCAGCAGCAAGCUGCAUGUGUAGCUCUAUUUCCUGGCUCCCGGAUUUGCUUUCGGAUGGGGAAGUCGGAAUGGGGAUGUUUUCUUUUAGGUUACAGUUUCAUUUGUUUUGCAGGAUUUCUGCUGAAGAGCCGUUUCUGUCAUUGAUAAUGGACUGGAAAAAAAGCAUCAGUGCAUCAUCCAAAGUGUUUAAUCGCCUGUACUCAUCAUGUCCCUCCCUAGAAAUUGGUACCCAACUGUUUUCCCUAAAGUUGUUUGAGAAAGAUUUGCCUCCUGUGAAGUGUCACCAUGGAAGAGGAAGGAUGACCUGGCUGGUGCCCACCUGGUGUCACAUUCCUGGCUUCUGACCUCGAGGUGGGCAGUGCUGACUGCUGGGACUUCAGUAGGAACGAGCAAACAAGCCAUUUGACCCUUGUGCAACAGCAAAAGUGUGCGAGAGCAGUGCUGAAUGCUGCUGUGCAGCUCCAAGCUGUGCUCCUCUCCUUUUCUGCAGCUUUAUAAGCUGCCUACAGGGUACGGAGCGUUCCAAGCCUGUGACCUAAAUUAUGAGCAGAAGAUAUUAAGCCUGGAUUUUAACUUAAGAGCUGACUACACCCACAGGACAAAUUAAAACACUGUGUUGUUUUUCCACUGAAGCUGGAAUUCCUUCACCACAAAUUCUGUUGGAUUUUGUGUGUUCUGGCAUGAAUAUUGGAGUGCCCAACCACUUAUCUGCGCUGGGUUUGCAGCUCCCUGCCUGCCACCAGUGCUGACUUCUGUCUUGCGUCGCAGCUUUGCUUUGCUGCCCUUCUCACAAAUGCCAGGAGCUGAUCUGUGGAGCGGCUGGGAUUUCUCCAUCACAAAUAUUGCCUGUUCAGAAGGAAGAGAGCCACUCCUGAGUUGUGAUCUUGAGAUUUUCUCAUCAUUGUGUGCCAAAAUGGAGGUCACUCCAGAGUAAAAUCUGCCCAAAUGUGAGCCGUUCAACCCCUCCUGUCCUGGUGAGCAUUUCAGCAUCCUUUGGGUCUCUCACUGGUAGACAGCAGCUGUAGACCUGCAGGUUUGUGCCCCACUUUUUGUUUCCCAGCCACAGCUGUUUCACUGGGUUAGCUCUGACCAACUUUAGCUGUACAUCACCCAUUUCCAUUCCUAAGUGACAUACUGCACAUUUGAAUAACAUCUCAAGGACUUAGAGAACAGAAAAAAAAAUGGUUUUAUGGAGCAAUUCUUUAGACCAGAGUAUGUACAUUUGCUUGAGCCAAAACAUACUUUUGAUGUCUUAAAUUAAUGCAAAAACCUGGAAUGUUUUCCUCUUCUUUCUCAGCCUUACCAACUGGGGAACUCUGGGACAGAGUGCAAUGAAAUAUAUAAAAAUUAUGGCCUUUAAAGCUGCCUAACUCUUUCUCUUUAUUCGGUACUAUUAAUACUAUUUAUAGUCGCUUUCCUUGUUUCCUUUAAAGUUUGAUCUCUUUAAAGUUUGAUCCCUUCUUCUUAAAUCACAUCAGAAUUUCCUACGUCCUUUUCUCACCGCUGCCAGAAAGCAUUGCCUUUUUCUGGUCUUUCUGGGCCCACUUCUCAUUCUUACUUCCACUUCAACAACUAUUCAUACUUUCUUAGAUCAUCGAGAUCUUUG